GUGGUGUACAAUCUAAGUGUACGA
rnacentral:siRNA from 1 species